GCGUGGAGGAUUAAGGCCCUCUGGGUUGUAAACUCCUUUUAUCUGGGAAGAAUGUACUUUUCUUGAGUACUUGACGGUACCAGAGGAAUAAGCACCGGCUAACUCCGUGCCAGCAGCCGCGGUAAUACGGAGGGUGCAAGCGUUAUCCGGAUUCACUGGGUUUAAAGGGUGCGUAGGUGGGCAGGUAAGUCAGUGGUGAAAUCUCCGGGCUUAACCCGGAAACUGCCGUUGAUACUAUUUGUCUUGAAUAUUGUGGAGGUAAGCGGAAUAUGUCAUGUAGCGGUGAAAUGCUUAGAUAUGACAUAGAACACCAAUUGCGAAGGCAGCUUACUACACAAUGAUUGACGCUGAGGCACGAAAGCGUGGGGAUCAAACAGGAUUAGAUACCCUGGUAGUCCACGCCCAAAACGAUGAUUACUCGACAUACGCGAUACACUGUGUGUGUCUGAGCGAAAGCAUUAAGUAAUCCACCUGGGAAGUACGUUCGCAAGAAUG
rnacentral:rRNA from 1 species